rnacentral:rRNA from 1 species
UAGGUAGCGCCUCGUGAAUUCAUCUCCGGGGGUAGAGCACUGUUUCGGCUAGGGGGCCAUCCCGGCUUACCAACCCGAUGCAAACUGCGAAUACCGGAGAAUGUUAUCACGGGAGACACACGGCGGGUGCUAACGUCCGUCGUGAAGAGGGAAACAACCCAGACCGCCAGCUAAGGUCCCAAAGUCAUGGUUAAGUGGGAAACGAUGUGGGAAGGCCCAGACAGCCAGGAUGUUGGCUUAGAAGCAGCCAUCAUUUAAAGAAAGCGUAAUAGCUCACUGGUCGAGUCGGCCUGCGCGGAAGAUGUAACGGGGCUAAACCAUGCACCGAAGCUGCGGCAGCGACACUGUGUGUUGUUGGGUAGGGGAGCGUUCUGUAAGCCUGUGAAGGUGUGUCGUGAGGCAUGCUGGAGGUAUCAGAAGUGCGAAUGCUGACAUAAGUAACGAUAAAGCGGGUGAAAAGCCCGCUCGCCGGAAGACCAAGGGUUCCUGUCCAACGUUAAUCGGGGCAGGGUGAGUCGACCCCUAAGGCGAGGCCGAAAGGCGUAGUCGAUGGGAAACGGGUUAAUAUUCCCGUACUUGGUGUUACUGCGAAGGGGGGACGGAGAAGGCUAUGUUGGCCGGGCGACGGUUGUCCCGGUUUAAGCGUGUAGGUGUGUGUUCCAGGUAAAUCCGGUUCACUUUAACACUGAGGCGUGACGACGAGGCACUACGGUGCUGAAGCAACAAAUGCCCUGCUUCCAGGAAAAGCCUCUAAGCAUCAGGUAACAUCAAAUCGUACCCCAAACCGACACAGGUGGUCAGGUAGAGAAUACCAAGGCGCUUGAGAGAACUCGGGUGAAGGAACUAGGCAAAAUGGUGCCGUAACUUCGGGAGAAGGCACGCUGACACGUAGGUGAAGUGAUUUACUCAUGGAGCUGAAGUCAGUCGAAGAUACCAGCUGGCUGCAACUGUUUAUUAAAAACACAGCACUGUGCAAACACGAAAGUGGACGUAUACGGUGUGACGCCUGCCCGGUGCCGGAAGGUUAAUUGAUGGGGUCAGCGCAAGCGAAGCUCCUGAUCGAAGCCCCGGUAAACGGCGGCCGUAACUAUAACGGUCCUAAGGUAGCGAAAUUCCUUGUCGGGUAAGUUCCGACCUGCACGAAUGGCGUAAUGAUGGCCAGGCUGUCUCCACCCGAGACUCAGUGAAAUUGAACUCGCUGUGAAGAUGCAGUGUACCCGCGGCAAGACGGAAAGACCCCGUGAACCUUUACUAUAGCUUGACACUGAACAUUGAGCCUUGAUGUGUAGGAUAGGUGGGAGGCUUUGAAGUGUGGACGCCAGUCUGCAUGGAGCCGACCUUGAAAUACCACCCUUUAAUGUUUGAUGUUCUAACGUGGACCCGUUACCCGGGUUGCGGACAGUGUCUGGUGGGUAGUUUGACUGGGGCGGUCUCCUCCUAAAGAGUAACGGAGGAGCACGAAGGUUGGCUAAUCCUGGUCGGACAUCAGGAGGUUAGUGCAAUGGCAUAAGCCAGCUUGACUGCGAGCGUGACGGCGCGAGCAGGUGCGAAAGCAGGUCAUAGUGAUCCGGUGGUUCUGAAUGGAAGGGCCAUCGCUCAACGGAUAAAAGGUACUCCGGGGAUAACAGGCUGAUACCGCCCAAGAGUUCAUAUCGACGGCGGUGUUUGGCACCUCGAUGUCGGCUCAUCACAUCCUGGGGCUGAAGUAGGUCCCAAGGGUAUGGCUGUUCGCCAUUUAAAGUGGUACGCGAGCUGGGUUUAGAACGUCGUGAGACAGUUCGGUCCCUAUCUGCCGUGGGCGCUGGAGAACUGAGGGGGGCUGCUCCUAGUACGAGAGGACCGGAGUGGACGCAUCACUGGUGUUCGGGUUGUCAUGCCAAUGGCACUGCCCGGUAGCUAAAUGCGGAAGAGAUAAGUGCUGAAAGCAUCUAAGCACGAAACUUGCCCCGA